AUGGAGUUUGCUGUAGCGGCAUUUAGCACGGUAGCUGGCGUCGCCUUGUCGAAGCUCUGCAGCGUGAAGGGGAAGCUAAAUACUGAUGCUACCAUCAUCAGUGAAGAACUCAAGUGGAUCGAAGCUGCCAUGAAGGAUCAUGCUUCCAGUGUCGAGCCGAUGAGUUUCUUGCAGGCAGAAUAUUUUGCACAACUGAGGGCCUUGGCUUAUGACAUCCAAGACUGUAUAGACAGCUUCAACGCCAAGAUGACGACCGAUGAUGAAUUUGCCGACAAAAUUGCCCAACUCAAGGAGAGAUCAACUGCAACGACUGAACGGAUAAAGAGGUUUGGCUUUCCUGUACAAGGGGCUGCAGCACAAGCGGCGGCUGCUGCUGUCCCCGCGGAGAUUCAGAAUUUUCAUUUCCUGAUGAGGGGAGGUAAUCUUAAUGGUGAUUACCACAACUGCUUGCUAUAUCUGCGCUUGUUCCCUCAUGAACAUCAUGUCAGGACUAAGCCCCUAGAAAGGAGAUGGACGGCUGAAGGACUUGUACCAGGAGAACAAGGCGCAGCCAGCAAUUUGGGCAUGCUUGUUGGUUCCAGUAUCAUCAGGUCCACCCAGAGAAGCAGCAAUGGGAAGGUGAAGAGAUGCCAGCCUACCGGCGAUGCGAUUCGGCAGUACAUCACCCAACGGUCCAUGUCGGAGAAUUUCAUAUGGUUAUCUCACGAUGUGGCCGAAUUGCAGAACGAACACCUCCGCAGGCUAUCUGUGCAUGCUUGUGCAAACGCCCAUCUGAAUUUGCCUCAGAGUUUAUCUCUUCUCCGGACCCUGGCAGUAUUCUCCACUGGCGCGGCGGCAACUCUAGAUAGUUAUGAAGCUGUUUUAGAUUUUACCAAGUAUAAACUGCUGCGAGUGUUGGACCUGAAAGAGUGUGCUCACCUUAGUGCGGGCCAUAUUCAGGCUAUCUACAGCCUGGUGCUGAUGAAAUACCUGAGCAUCAAAUCGGGCAUCAUUGAUAGGCUUCCAAGGGAAAUCUGGAAGCUGAAUCAGCUAGAGACACUCGACCUGAGUGGAAGUGGAAGCUCAGAAUGUGACGGUGCUGAUGGAAUAGUGACGGUGUACAAAGAAGUCCUCCUGCUGCCGCGAUUGAAGCAUCUCAUUGGCAAGUUUGAGCUUUCCGGAACAGAUACCAUUUGGGCACCUGUACCGUCAGAUGUAGAGAAGUUCCUCAAAGCUCAUAAGAGUAUGCUGGAGACGCUGGCAGGAUUUGUCACCGGUCAGAAAGUUGGAUUUCCGCAACUGAUGAGUCUUAUGAGGCGGUUGCGGAAGGUGAAGAUAUGGUGCGAACCCAAUGCAAAGCGAAGAAACCUGCAUGCUCUUUCAAGUGCCAUUACCAAAUUCAUUCGUGAUGGUCCCGGAGAGCCUCAUCUUAGUCGCUCCCUAUCCAUCAAUUUCCAAGGAUCCUCGGGAGGAUUCACGAGCGAUAUAGACCCAGUUCCCGGCAUACUCGCCGCUCUCAAGCUGCAAGGCAAACUGGGCCAGUUCCCUCCGUUUGUCUCACAGCUAAGUUCCAUCGACGAGCUGUGCCUUUGCUCGACUGGUCUGAGCUGGGAGGAUAUUCGAGCCGGGCUGAGCUACGUGGAUAUUCAAGGCGAGCUGAUCUGCGUUGGGGGACUGAAAUAUCUCAAGCUUAUUGAAAAUGAGGAUACCCUCGGGCCCAUCGUGAUACAGCCUGAUCACCUCAAAAGCAUCAAGCGGUUGUCAAUCGUGUGCAAGCCAAGGCUAGACAUAACAAUCCAAGCUGGCGCGCUGCCUGAUCUUGUGUCGCUUCAUAUCCUCUGUGAAACACUGGAUGUUCUUCCUGGAACACCCGGCAUUGAGAUUGCACAUAUGAAUCAGCUGGAUCAAGUCGAGCUCCAUCCUCAGGUCCAGGGCGGAAUAAGAGCUCAAUGGCAACUGGCUGUAGAUGGCCAUAAUAAUAGGCCCGUGCCCUUCCUUUUGUUCGUUGAAGAACCCUGA
rnacentral:rRNA from 1 species